GAGACACCGAUGACGGCUGAGGAUGGUGAUUGUUAAGGCAUCUCUGUUAAGGCUUUGUGUUGAUUCGAGCAGCUUCACAGAUAUUUCAUUGAUUGAGAUGCGGGAACAUAUAAAGAAACGUCCACCAUUAGCAUUAGCAACGACUGAAAAUUUUCCACAAUGGUAAUUUGAUCGAAUUUAAAGAAGCGAAGGAAGUUGGUUCGUC